rnacentral:rRNA from 1 species
UACGUAUUGGGCGAGCGUUGUUCGGCAUUAUUGGGCGUAAAGGGCGUCUAGGCGGGGAUUUAAGUUAGGUGUGAAAGCUAUGGGCUCAACCCAUAAACUGCACCUAAAACUGAAUCUCUUGAGUUCGGGAGAGGAGAGCGGAAUUCCAGGUGUAGCGGUGAAAUGCGUAGAUAUCUGGAAGAACACCAGUGGCGAAGGCGGCUCUCUGGCCUAGAACUGACGCUGAAGCGCGAAAGCGUGGGGAGCGAACAGG